UGGGGAAUCUUGCGCAAUGGGGGAAACCCUGACGCAGCAACGCCGCGUGGGUGAUGAAGGCCUUCGGGUCGUAAAGCCCUGUCAGGUGGGAAGAAACUUGUGGAUGUUAAUACCAUCCACACUUGACGGUACCAUCGGAGGAAGCACCGGCUAACUCCGUGCCAGCAGCCGCGGUAAUACGGAGGGUGCAAGCGUUGUUCGGAAUUAUUGGGCGUAAAGCGCGUGUAGGUGGUCAGGUAAGUCAGAUGUGAAAGCCUUCUGCUUAACAGAAGAAGUGCAUUUGAAACUGCUUGGCUAGAGUACGGGAGAGGAGAGUGGAAUUCCCGGUGUAGAGGUGAAAUUCGUAGAUAUCGGGAGGAACACCAGUGGCGAAGGCGGCUCUCUGGUCCGAUACUGACGCUGAGACGCGAAAGCGUGGGGAGCAAACAGGAUUAGAUACCCUGGUAGUCCACGCCGUAAACGAUGGGCACUAGGUGUAGGAGGUAUUGACCCCUUCUGUGCCGAAGCUAACGCUUUAAGUGCCCCGCCUGGGGAGUACGGCCGCAAGGCUA
rnacentral:rRNA from 1 species